rnacentral:rRNA from 1 species
GACAUAGGGCGCGAGCGUUGUCCGGAUUUAUUGGGCGUAAAGAGCUCGUAGGCGGCUUGUCGCGUCGACUGUGAAAUCCCGCGGCUCAACUGCGGGUCUGCAGUCGAUACGGGCAGGCUAGAGUUCGGUAGGGGAGACUGGAAUUCCUGGUGUAGCGGUGAAAUGUGCAGAUAUCAGGAGGAACACCGGUGGCGAAGGCGGGUCUCUGGGCCGAUACUGACGCUGAGGAGCGAAAGCGUGGGGAGCGAACAGG